rnacentral:rRNA from 1 species
UACAGAGGGUGCUAGCGUUGUUCGGAAUCAUUGGGCGUAAAGGGCGCGUAGGCGGCCACCGCAAGUCGGUUGUGAAAUCUCCGGGCUUAACCCGGAAAGGUCACUGAUACUGCGGGGCUAGAGUGCAGAAGGGGCAACUGGAAUUCUCGGUGUAGCGGUGAAAUGCGUAGAUAUCGAGAGGAACACCUGCGGCGAAGGCGGGUUGCUGGGC